rnacentral:RNase_MRP_RNA from 1 species
CCUAUAAAAACAGACAGACAGCGUUAGACGACACACGAUAUUCAAGAGGACGAUGGACUUCAAAUGUUUGGUUGUGGCGAGGUUGUGUUGUUGUUUGUUUGCAGUGGAGACGCUUUGGAAACAUUCCCAUCAUUAGAACGAAAGUUAAUUUUUUUGCGUCACAGUCAGUCAGUGAUUGUUCACCUUGAUAGAAUCAUUUGGGCAUGAAUCAGCGCACAUGGUCGUAAAACGAACCGCGGCUACAAAGGUCAACCACAAACAAACAAACAUACUAAACACAACAC